rnacentral:misc_RNA from 1 species
ACACCUCAACUCUCAUGGUUUGCCAUGAUGAGCUUGGACUUUGGGGGUAUUGCUGGCCUCUGGUCAGCUCCUCUCAAACGGAUCAGCUUGCCAGUGUUUGGUGGCAUCACAGGUGUGAUAACUAUCUACGCUUGUGGUUUUCUACUGGAUAACCUUCAGUGAUGGAGGUUCGCUGGAGCUCAUAAAUGUCUCUCCUUAGCGAAGACAGCUUUUCGAAC